CUUACUCUAUAUAACUUUAGAAAACACCAGGCAAGGGGCCUGAACAGAGUUGCGGUGGCUAACUUUGACUUUCGUGAGUUUUCCAUGUGUAACCUUUCAUCCAUAAAGUCACAGUGAGGUGAUUUGUUUUUCAUUAUUUUUUUUCAGAGGCACAAAGAAUAAAAAAGAAUGAACCUUCACUUUACCCUGGGCUAAGAAUUAAGAACAAGUCAGCACACGUGGGUUUUACUAGCCUCCUUUGAUUUAAUUCCAUGCAGUCAGGAGAAUAAUAUCAAAUGGGAAAACUGAGAUGCGGAUGAUAUUCUUAAGAACUUCCCCCUUCUCCACCAUAUGGGACAUAAGAAAAGAGAUGGAGCUGCAGGAGGAGAACAUCUGAUUGGAAGUUUAUCUAUUUAGUGUGAAAGCUUUUAACGCGAGAGAGGAUUGUGCAUUUCUUGUGUCCAGGUGUCUCUGAUAGAGAUAAUUUGUCUUUUUUGAGGAAAAAAAAAGUAUGAAUUCUCUCCAUAUGCUGCACAUGGGAGGAAGAGAAGGCUGGCGAGGAUGAUAAUCCAGUCCUGGUUUUGAGGUUCCCUUUUCACAGGUGGAAGCUGUUUGUCAAUGAAUUGUAAAUGCCCUUGAACUCAGUGGAAAAACCUCCAUCUAUUUUCAUCUAUUUAUGUGAAGGGAAAGGGAAAUAUUUCCAGUCUGCCUGCCAUGAAAUGAAAUAAAAAUCAGCAAUAGAACCUCCAGUCUGAGGGGGAAAUGUGAGCUGGGUAUAAAUCGCUUGGCAUGCCUUAGAACAGUGUUUGCUCUGGUCAUGUGAAAAUCCAUUUCCUCUCCGUUUCACAUACCUGUAUUUGUAGGACACCAGAGACAAACAACUUCUACAAACGAACUCUGCUAUUUUCCUCAAAGCGCAGACACACACUAUAGUCCCCCUGCCCUCCCAGUGAAAUACACAAAUACCCUUUUGGAUCCUUGACAUCUGCUAUAAUUUCAUACCUACGCCAAAAGCAAACGGCUACAUCACUAACAGGCAGUUCACAAGAAUAGGCCAGAGCUAGUCAUUUGAAAUGUGCAUCACCCCCAGGCCUCGCUCACACAUCACAUAUUUUCCCAAGGUAGACAUGUCAUUGUACACAACAUUAACACUGCAGAGGCAAGUAGACAUACAACUCUAGCAGGGUGUUAAUAAAAAGCCAGGUGAAGAACAAAGAGAUGUGCCAGUGCCCCUUAAGAGAUGUUAAACAUAGAUCGUGGACCAUGUCUGCCUAUAUUCAUACACUAAAGGAUUCCAAAAGCCCAAACUAAUGAAUUUAAUUGUAGUAACGGCCACAGACUCCACUGGCACCUUACAUGGCCCACUGUCAAGAAACCUGAAAAAUCUAAAGUUUAAAAUCUCAAACAACAUUUCAAGAUGAUCAGUGGUGCAAUAUAAAUAAGGUAUUGGCAGUGAAUCUAACUUUGUACUGCAUUGGCAUGAUGCACAAGUGCCUAAUCAUCUCUAACUCAUAGAUCAGGAGGACACAUUAUCACGGGGGGGGAGGAAUAUAUAAUGGUGAGAGAGGAACAAGGAUAUUGAUAACAAGUUCAGAAUCACCAAAUAAUUCAAGAUGUGGCAUGCAGCCAGAAGGAAGUUGCUAGAGCAUCCCAAUGAAGAGAACACAUUGAGCAUCAAAUUCUCUCUCCUCUCACACCAGUUGGCCUUCAGUGGAACUGUUCCUGGUUUACUCUGGUAUGAAGGCCAAAUCAGAUAUACAGGGGUCCAUUCUUCACCUCUGCAUAUUAUGGGUCUGACUCUGGUCUCUCAAAGGCAUGAUUCAGAAGUAACCCCAUUAAAGCCAAUGGAAUUACAGUUGUGCAAGAUUGGUGUGAAAAGAGAACCAGGCCAAUUCAGCCACUUUGGGGCUUUGCCAGCAUUUCAGAAGAGCUCAUAGUAAGUAGUUUCCUAUAUAAUGUAAACAUAAUACAAAUGCUCAAACCUGAACUGUGCCUUUGGAUCAGCUGCAUAAGGGAUCCUUGGGUAGGGCAAAGGCAGCAUAGCUGGCUCAAUGCCACCUUUUCCUGACACGAUAGUGUAGGAGUGCUCCAGGGCUGUGUGGUAGAGCGGGGAGUUAUGUGGCUGAAAUGGGAUUUGCUCUGGCAAUCCUAAAACCCAUUGUAAUCAGCAUAGGUUAGAGAAGCCUUGAGGCUUCCCUAGUUUAUGCCAGUGGCCAAUGUGACUCCUAUCUACUUCUAGACUUGGGAGUGCAACAGAGGAGUAGCUCCUUCAGUUCAGCAUACAGUUACAGCAAACCACUCAAUUGAUGACACCCCACAAUUCAACUUUUCUCCUCUCCAAAUAUAAGGGUAUUAAGUGUUAUUCUCAGCUGAGUUGAGUUGGA